UAAUGCAUAAAAUGUGCUUUACAACUGGAUUACACAGCUUUACAGAGUUUACUGUUAACUGUUGUUUUAUGAUUACUAUUUUUCUUUCUUUCUUGAAUGUUGUAUUAAAAUAACAACAUGGUAUCAUUCAUUUAAUUUAGAAUAGUUGUGUGUUGUGAUAACAAACGCUUUGAAACUGCUUGGUGUAUACAUUAUUGCCGGAGAACGUUAUUUACUCCCAAAUGAUGCCUCUUGAUGAACAACCUGACAAGAUCAAAAACCUGUUGAUUGCAAGGGAGAUGAUGGAUCAACAUGAUUGUGCAAACAUGAUAUCUUUUUUUUUUAAAUGCUGCCUAGAUGUGAUUUUAAUAUGUGAUUUGAAUUCUUACAUAGAUUGUGUGCAUGAUGUCUAUCAUUGACUUGAGGAGAGAUCACAAGUCAAAGCGCCCCAAAAAAGGUACGGAAAGUACCAAACUAAAAUAGAACAGCUGUGAGGGGUUUGGCAGGACGCCAGAAUGCACAGCUGUGGAAAGUCCAGGUCAGCUAGAAGUGAAAGUAGCCACUGUGCCCUUUGAAGGAAAAAAAUAGCUUUGAACAGGAAACGUCCUUUGCAUAACCCGGACCAGCUGUAGGGUGACGUGACUGCAGUUGCCUCUUCAAAGCUAUAAAAACCGCAGUUCGGAGGGGCAAGGAUGGGAUGGCCAGGGCGAAGCCCUGUCAGUCCGGAUCCCCAAUUUCCGGUACCUGACGAGAAUAGGAUUAUGAAGAUGACUCCUUAUCAAGAAAUCCAAUAUUACAUUCAACUGGCACAACUCGAAUACAGCAGUGUGACAAUUGCAGCUUGAAGGUAUGGCUAACUAUCCACAGCAGGGGGAAAACGCAUUCACAUGGACGGAACACGCACACACGAAGAGGAACCGGACUUUGUGUAUCUCCACACUGUAGAAGAUUGUGUGACUGCAGGUGGUCUUUCAGUAAUAGGGUUUUACGGAGGAGUUUUAUUUCGUGGGUCAACACGUAUUAGUCCAUUCAAUUUGCAUACAUGCAUAAGAGAAACAUUUGAUUACAGUAUCAAAUAUUGUUGUGACUCCACCCCAGAUUGCAAUUCGAAAAGGUUUUCAACUUAACCCUGCCCCCUGCAAAUUCAUCAUGAUCCAGAAUACAUUGACGAUUUUACUGGAAUAUGAAUCGCGGACCUAUUUUUGUGGCAAUGUUUACAAUCAACAUAGGAAAACGCUUAGAUCUUUCUGAAACCUUGUAGAUGAUCACGAGGCUGGCUACGAGUCAGACAUCGCAUUCUAUCUGGUUACAUCUGCGUUCGCUCUUCUGGUGGGACACAACUGUGCAGGAGUUCACUGCUCCAGAGUUUGUGCAAAACUUUCAUGUUUCCAGGGAGUCAAACCUCUCCAUCUGUCAUCGUCAUGAUAACUCCGCCCCCCGCCCCUGACAUAGGUAGUACCAAAGUCUGGCCCAACAAAUAAUUGGGGUCAUAUUAAGCUCCAGUUUAAAGCAGCUAGAGACAAUUUCGGUGGUGAAAAAAGAAAGAACUGGUGCUAACCAGUGCACUGGCCCAGAACUAGCAUUAGCACAAGCGUGGUGGAAAAGGGCCGUGGGUGACAAUUAUAGGUUUAAAGGCUGCACUGAAGAAUAAAUGCUCUCUUCAUGGUUCUUCCUUCCUUUUAAGAAAUCGCAAAAGCAUUCACAGAUCCGCCUUUUGUUGUGAAGCAUGUGAAGAAACUUUCUUGUUGUAAGAUUUAAUCAUGGGACUUAUUUCUCACUCUAUUCAUAGGAUUUAGACAAAAUAAGUGUUGAAACGUUGCAGUGGGAUUGAAAUGUCAAAAGCAAUGCCUGAGUUCACCUCAUCUUGAUGUCUGAAUAGAAUGCUCACCAAAAGAGCAUCCCCAUUCAACAUUCCUCUGUCGUCACAAUCAAGCAGAGGGAAAAGUAAUUCUUUGAUGGUUUCUGUUAUGGUUAUUUCUUUGGUGCACACAGAGAACAUCUAUAACAGCAGUGGUUACAGAGGUACAAAGCUGAGGAAAGCAGGAUGGGAAAAGCAGAAUCAACCCUGUUUGCGGAGGCAGAUACAGUACAUGUCGAACGAAACACAUCAUGACGCACGUAAGACAGGUGUGGGGGAAAGCCACUCUCCAAAAAUGGGAAUUCCAAUUCGGGAGUUUUUUUAGGGGCUUGAAUUUAAUGCUGACAACAUUUUCA